rnacentral:tRNA from 1 species
GGUAGCGUGGCCGAGCGGUCUAAGGCGCUGGUUUAAGGCACCCGUCUUUUCGGGGGCGUGGGUUCGAAUUCCACCGCUGCCA